AUCAAUCUCGAAUGCCAACUUAAGCCAUCAGAUCAGACUAAUGCAAAUACCAAGAUCACCAGUACUAUGAGUAUUGAUACGACGAAAAAUCAGGUUGAGGGUAACACUGACAUGUCUAAAUCAGUGUCAAACUCGGGUAAUGAUGUAUUUUGGCAACAAUUCUUAACUGAGACUCCUGGUUUAUCUGAGCCGCAGGAAGUUGAGCAUGUAAGUAAAGACACCAAUUGCUUAACGUGUGAUACCAUGUUAGCAGAAGAAAACCAGAGAUAUUGGUGGAGUCACGGAUUUAAUGUAGAAAAUCUUGCUGAACGUAUGGGGCUUCUCAAUGGUAAGUAAAGACAUCAAUGGCUUAACGUGUGAUAGCAUGCUAGCAGAAAACCAGAGAUAUUGGUGGAGUCGCGGAUUUAAUGUAGAAAACCUUGCUGAACGUAUGGGGCUUCUCAGUCCAGCAACGGGAAGCUGAG
rnacentral:lncRNA from 1 species